AGGCUAUAUAUGAAUCAAAGUGCAUUGUUUUUAUAUUUCUAGGGAUCUGAGAGAGAACUAUUGCCAAAACCUGGAUAAUGACAUAUCCCCUUGGUGUUACACUACUGUUCCUACUGUGAGAUGGGAAUAUUGUAAUCUGCAAAAGUGUGACUAUGGAGGACACCUUGUUUCACCUGAACUGCCUUAUUCAACAUUAGAACCAGGCACUGAUAUGACUGUUUUGGACAUGACAGAGUGUAUUACUGGCGGUGGUAAAAGAUUAUCAUGGUGCAGUCAAGAAAACUAGAAGCAGCAGGACUUGUCAAGAGUGGAGUUCUCAGGAGCCUCAUCACCACACUUAUCUCACUCCAGAGACUCAUCCAAGAUCAGACCUGGAUAAAAAUUCCUGCAGUGAUUGUUGACCAAGUUAUACCUGUGUGUUUACCUGAAGGAAGUCUGAUGGUAGGAAGUGGAACAGAAUGCUUUGCUACUGGCUGGGGAGAAAUAAAAGGGAGACAGUGGAGGACCUUUAGUUUGUCUUGUCCAAGACAGGUUUGUCCAGUGUGGAAUCACCUCUUGGAGCUUUGGUUGUGCCCUGCCUAAGAAACCUUCUGUCUUUGUCUGAGUUUCUAGUUAUACUUCUUGGAUUAAGAAUAUAAUGGAAGCCAACUGAUCCUGGGAAUGGACUGCCCUCUCCUGGAAAGCAGUAUGCAUGUUAGAAAUAUGAGAUUACAAUCAUAUUAAAUUUUGAGAAUGGAAAAUAAAUAUAAAAUAAUAAAAAAAUAAAUAGAAUCC
rnacentral:lncRNA from 1 species